rnacentral:rRNA from 1 species
UGGGGAAUAUUGGACAAUGGGCGCAAGCCUGAUCCAGCCAUGCCGCGUGAGUGAUGAAGGCCCUAGGGUUGUAAAGCUCUUUUGUGCGGGAAGAUAAUGACGGUACCGCAAGAAUAAGCCCCGGCUAACUUCGUGCCAGCAGCCGCGGUAAUACGAAGGGGGCUAGCGUUGCUCGGAAUCACUGGGCGUAAAGGGUGCGUAGGCGGGUUUCUAAGUCAGAGUGAAAGCCUGGAGCUCAACUCCAGAACUGCCUUUGAUACUGGAAGUCUUGAGUUCGGGAGAGGUGAGUGGAACUGCGAGUGUAGAGGUGAAAUUCGUAGAUAUUCGCAAGAACACCAGUGGCGAAGGCGGCUCACUGGCCCGAUACUGACGCUGAGGCACGAAAGCGUGGGGAGCAAAC